rnacentral:lncRNA from 10 species
GAGAUGCUGCAGGAACUACAGACCCAGGAAAUCAACUGUUAUGACUGACUCUCAAUUAAAAUCAGUGCCUGCCUCUGAGCUAUUGAUGAUUCUAAAAAGUACAGCAUCCACUACCAUUACUUCCUUAUGUAUAAGGUGCUUUUUUUUCUGAAGCUUUGGUAGUGUAACUGUAAGAGUCCUGGAAUUGGAAAAGCAAAUCCAGAAGUUGAGUUCCAUGACUUUUUUGCUGUUUGCCUUUGGACUUGCAUCAUUUAUAUUUUUAAUUCAUCGAGGAUGAGAAAAUUGAUUAACACAAAAUCUUUUCAUGUCUUUUCUGAUGAGAGACUAGCUGAAUCCAAGAAGAGAAGCCCUUGAAGAGUGUAUUCUAUUCUAGACAAGCAUUCACACAUUGGCUUCUUUGGUGCCAGAUUAAAGAAUGAAGAAAGGAUCAAAUUGAGACAUCCAGGGGGGAAGAGUUCCCUGGCAAAACUCCAAUCUGCCUGAGCACUGAGGUGGAGCCACAGAAGUCCGGGUCAUUUGCACCUGGGAGGAGCCUGGCCCCUCCUCUUCCUGUGUGGAAUCUGGGAUUUAAUCUGUGAGGAGGGAAGGCCAAGGGCAGGAAGCACAGGCUCUCACUUCACUAAGAGUCUCUGUUUCCCCUUUUUUUCCUUUAUGCCUAAUUAAUAAAUCCCAUUUUUCUCACUCUUCAAAUAGUCUUCAAGCCUAAAUUUUCAUGACCAUGGAACAAGGACCCCAUCUUUAGCUGAACUAAGGAAAAGUCCUGCAACAAAAUUCUUUGCUAAAAAUACAUGAGGUUGCCUUUUCCUUCUUAAUCUUAAAAGAAAUAUAUUUCAAUGGUUAACGUUUUAGUAAUUCAAAAAUUAUCAAGCAUUUGUUCACAACCAUAAGAUGUGCAUUGUUUUAUAUUCCUACUUAAUAAUAGACUAUAAUUGUCUAAUUAGACUGCCGAUGUUGAUCUUUGUGGCUCAUUGCAUUGAUUAUAAGCAGUGUUUUGGGUUUGUGUGUGUGUGUCAAAUUUAGGGUUUUUUUGGUAUGGCUGCUGGUUGGUGUAGCCUGUAUCCAGUAUCCUGUAUUAAUUCUAAUAUUUGCAUUUUGAACAUAUUUACAAGUUGCUAAAAUAGCAAAGCUUCGAGAUGAGCCUGGCUGAUAUGGCAAAACCCCGUCUCUACUAAAAAUACAAAAAUUAGCCUGGUGUGGUGGUGCAUGCCUGUAAUCCCAGCUACUUGGAAGUCUGAGGCAGGAGAAUCUCUUGAACCCAGAAGGUGGAGGUUGCAGUGGGCCAAGAUCGCACCACUGCACUCCAGCCUCGGUGAUAGAGCGAGACUACGUCUCAAAAAUAAAAUAAAAUAAAAUAAAAUAAAAAUAGCAAAGCUAUGUAUGGUUUCUCUGAGUUUUGUAAUUUAUCAUUGUUAACUGCAGAAAUUUAUUAUAUGAGACAUAUUAUAUGAGACAUAUAAGUGAAUUUGGAUUGGGUUUAAUUUUAUAUUUUUGAAUAUAGUUCUUCAAGAUAAAUUUUAUCUUAGACCUCAAGAAAUAAAAAUAAAAUAAAUUAGAUAUACAAACGA